AUUGAACGCUGGCGGCAGGCUUAACACAUGCAAGUCGAGCGGGGAAGGGUAGCUUGCUACCUGACCUAGCGGCGGACGGGUGAGUAAUGCUUAGGAAUCUGCCUAUUAGUGGGGGACAACAUUCAGAAAGGAAUGCUAAUACCGCAUACGUCCUACGGGAGAAGGCAGGGGACCUUCGGGCCUUGCGCUAAUAGAUGAGCCUAAGUCAGAUUAGCUAGUUGGUGGGGUAAAGGCCUACCAAGGCGACGAUCUGUAGCGGGUCUGAGAGGAUGAUCCGCCACACUGGGACUGAGACACGGCCCAGACUCCUACGGGAGGCAGCAGUGGGGAAUAUUGGACAAUGGGCGCAAGCCUGAUCUAGCCAUGCCGCGUGUGUGAAGAAGGCCUUUUGGUUGUAAAGCACUUUAAGCGAGGAGGAGGCUACCGAGAUUAAUACUCUUGGAUAGUGGACGUUACUCGCAGAAUAAGCACCGGCUAACUCUGUGCCAGCAGCCGCCGUAA
rnacentral:rRNA from 1 species